rnacentral:rRNA from 1 species
ACGCUCGACACCUACGGGAGGCAGCAGUGGGGAAUAUUGCACAAUGGGGGAAACCCUGAUGCAGCAACGCCGCGUGAGUGAAGAAGUAUUUCGGUAUGUAAAGCUCUAUCAGCAGGGAAGAUAAUGACGGUACCUGACUAAGAAGCUCCGGCUAAAUACGUACCAGCAGCCGCGGUAAUCUGAGCGGGCUGGCAAGGCU